CAAACGACUCUCGGCAACGGAUAUCUCGGCUCACGCAUCGAUGAAGAACGUAGCAAAAUGCGAUACUUGGUGUGAAUUGCAGAAUCCCGUGAACCAUCGAGUUUUUGAACGCAAGUUGCGCCCGAAGCCUUUUGGCCGAGGGCACGUCUGCCUG
rnacentral:rRNA from 2 species